rnacentral:lncRNA from 1 species
UAUUAUUCAAGCCAAGGGGCAAUAAGCAAUAAGCAUCCCCACAACUUCAAAAAGUUUUUCUUUCUUUCUUUUCCUAUCUCUAUUUGAAAUCUGUUUCAGGGGAAAGAAGAAGGAAAAUUUUAUGAUUUUUUGAGGGCUUGUUAAUAAUAAAUAGAAAACAAUGGCGAACAAUGUUGCUGUUAUUGGUAUCUUUUCGGUGUUAUUGGUGACAGCAGUGGUGGGUGUUACGCAUUUAAAAAAUAAUGGUGAUUCGAAAAGCGGUGAAAUAUCAAGUUCGACGAAAGCGGUGCAAACAACAAGGAGCUGAUAAGAAUGAGUUUCCAAGCAGCGAUAGAGGAAAUAAGGAAAGUGUUGGCGAAUUCAGCGACGAUACAAGACUUGAAUAAAGAUGACAACAACAAAGCAGCCCUUAAGGUUUGUAAAGAAGUGUUGGAUUUAUCAAUAGCUGAUCUGCAACUUUCAUUUGAUAAGCUGGGGGAUACGAGAUGAGUAAGAUCGGUGACUACAUACUGAACCUGAGGGUGUGGUUAAGCGGUGCCUUAACUACCCUACAAACAUGUGUAGACUCAUAUGCGGAGGUAAAUAAUGAACAAGCGGAGAAGAUGAAUUCAAUUUUGAAGACUUCAAUAGAGCUUACCCAAAAUUCUUUAACGAUGGUGACUAAGUUAUCCACCAUCUUGAAUGGCCUUAACAUUCCAGGCCUCAAUAUUGGCACGACUGGGUUUGAACGUAAGCUCCUGUCUAACGAUGGACCUGAGUGGAUGGGCCACGCUGAGAGGAGACUACUUCAAGCAAAACCAACAGAUUUGAAGCCUAAUGUAACAACCCAAAAUUCGUGGGCACCAGAAAAGUGUGUUAUCGGGUCUCCGUCUUAGUGAAAUAAGUUCGAAAAUAAUUAUUAAAAAUAUUUAUGAGUCUAGUAGUGUAUUUAAUUGGGUUUUAAUUAAGUAAAUUUAGCUUAAUUUAGAGUAAUUAGUAAAAAGGAUUAAAUUGAAUAAGGGUAAAAGUUUAAUUAUAGAUUAAAGAAAAAUUAGAAGGACUUAAGAGGAAAUUAAACUAUUUCCUAUAGCUGAGGCGGUUUAACGUGGAAAAUAUCAAAAAUUUUAUUGAUUUAAAAAAAAUAUAUAUAUUUAAUAAUUAAGUAUAUUAUAUUAUAUUAUAUUAUAUUAUAUUAUAUUAUAUUAUUAUUAUAUAUAAAAGAAACAAAUAAGUUAAAAGAAACAGAAUGAAAGCAAACGAAACAGAGAAGAACAGGGGAGAAAGAAAGGAAAGAAGAAAGAAAAGGGGAAAUAAGGUUUAUGAAGCUUGGAGUUAAUUGGUAAGCUCAACCAAGUCCUUUUCUCAUAAUUUUGAUAUUUUAGAAGUCUUAAAACAAGUUUUUGAUGAAAUUAAGUUGUUAGUUUGGAAGUUCUUAGGUUUUUAAACAAAGUUCAUGUUGAAUAAAAUGAUGAAAUAGGUGUUUAAUUGAAUGAAAUUCAAGUUAGAAUAGAUAUAAGGAUUGAAUUGCAAAGUAAGCUAUAAGUUUUGUGUUUUAGGGACUAAAUUGAGGAAAAUUCGGAAUUAAGAAAAUAUUUUGAAAAUUUAAUAGUUAAAUUUGAGUUUAAAUGAAAUUUGAAUAGGAAUAAGGUGUGAAUUGGUGUUAUAAAUUUGGUUAUUAACAUUUUACAUCAAAACAGUUUUGGGAAGUAGCAAUGGUCUGACUUUGAAAAUUCACUAAAAAUUUUAUAAAUUGAACUAGAGAAUGAACAAAAUAUGGAAUUAAAUCUUAUUGAGUCUAUUUUCUUUAGUAGAAACAGUGUAAGCAAUUAAUUGAUGAAUCAAGAGAUAUUUGAAAUUUUGUAAUACUGGUUCGGGGUGAUUUCGAGAUGCCCUGUUUUAACUUUGGAAAAUCAUUAAAAAUUGUACAAAAAUUAUUAUGGAGUGUAAUUUAUAUAUGUGAACUCCUUAAUGAAUCUAGUUUCAAAAUAAAUAAACAAGAACCUUAUUCGAGUUCUGUACAAUGAGAUAAUUUAUUUUUAGUAGAGAGAGGUCAGAACUGUCAAAUGAAAUAACAGGGGAGUAUUUAAUGAAUAAACUGUACUAAAUGGCUAGACCAAAAAUUCUGAAAAUUUUAUGGUUAGAAGAUAUAUGAGUCUAGUUUUAAGGAAAAUUUACGGAUAUUAAUUUGGAGUUUCGUAGCUCAAGAUAUAAAUAAUUUAGUAACAAUGACUCAAGUAGACAGCUUAAUGGUGAAAUUAUAUAUAUACAUUAAAAAUGGUUAAAUUUGCAUGUUUAGGCUCAUGAAUUAAAUUGAAUCAUGUUGUAUUAAUGAUUAUAAAUUAUUAUUUUUGUAGCCAACAAAGAACCUGAAGCAUCAGCAUCGAAAGGAAAGGAGAAAGUCAUCGAGGACUAAAACGGGAGAAUUAUGGUGUGUAUUACUAUAAUUCGAAUUUUAAUUAUUAUUGAUUGCUGAAUUUUUUUUAUUGUUAUGUAUGGUAAGUAAGACUUGAGGUAAGUAUGUGAAAUUGAUAUGAAUAUUGAGUGAAAAUGAAAGUGAUGCAAAUUGAAUCAAAUUGAAUUGAAUAAGUGAAUUAUGGAAUAUGUAAUUAUUUGAGAAGCGUAUUGAUUGAAAAAUGUUUGGCGAUUUGAAUUGUGAAUUGAAAGUGAUAUAGGAUUGAGAAAGUGAAUUGAAUACCCUAUUAACUAGUCGGGCUAAGUCGGAUAUAGUUGGCAAGCCAUAGGAUUGGAAGUGUUCAGGGAUACUUCGACCUCGAGUCGAUGAGACACUGGGUGUCACUAUAUUUCUUCGGAUAGAUUCGAUGAGGUACCGGGUACCAACUUUACUUCGGCUAGGCCGAUGAGACACUGGGUGUCAACUAUUACUUCGAACUAUCCGAUGAGGCACUGGGUGCCAUAUUGGUGUGUUUGGUUGGAUCCGUGUAUCCGCCAAAGUCCGAGUUACGUUAAUAGGGUGAAAAAUUGAAAUGUGAAUUUGAGGCAUUGAAACGAGAAAAAUAAAUUGAAUUACGAAUUGAAAUUGGAAUUGUGAUAAUAAGAGAAAAGUAUGAAAUGUAUAUUCAUAAGUGAUAUAAAUUUAAGUUUGAGAAAAUACAUUGAUUUAUGAAUUAGUACAUAUGACAUUAAUUGUUAGGUAUUUUGAUAUUUAUGUUUUUACUAUUGUUGAUAUAAUUUGAAUUAUGGUAAUAUCACUGAGUAUAUCCAUACUCAGCGUACGGUUGUUUCCGUGCGCAGAUUAGUAGAAGUCAAGUGUCCCAGUUCAGCAUCCAGAACAUUCCCGACUCCAACACAAAUUUGGUGAUGUAUAUUUUUCUUUUGGGUAAAGGUGGCAUGUACAUAUGUGUUAUAUAGUCACUUGAAUAUGCAUAUUACUUUGGGUAGUGAAGGUUGAAUUAUAAGAUUUAGAUGGUUAAAUGAAAUGGUAAGAAAAGUAUAUGAUAGUUAUUAAGUUGAAAUUAUGUUAAUGAUAUAAAUAUUAGUUAUAUGAAUGUGAAAAAUUGGUGCUGGUUGUUUUAGUUUGAAUUUGCAGGAGGUUUUAGGUAAAAAUAAGCAGAAAUGCUGCCGAAAUUUUUAUAAAAAAAAAGAAAUAAAAAAAAAUUUAAAAUAUUCGAACAAGUCCCGUUCUACUUUUAAUACGUGCUUGAACUUUGAGAGUUCAAGAUAGGGACUCAAUUAUUAUAUUAUACUAUGAAAAUUUUUAAUAAUUGUAAAUUAUUAGUAAGUUGUCUGAUAUGUCCGGUAAUGCCUCAUAACCUCGUUUCGGUAACAGUUUGGGGUUAGGAGGUGUUACACCUAACGUUGUGGUUGCUAAGGAUGGUAGUGGAAAAUAUGAUACCAUCACCAAGGCCUUGGCUGAAGUCCCUCCAAAAAGCCCUAAUCGAUUUAUUAUUCACAUUAAGGCUGGUACUUACAAGGAACAAGUCCUUUUACCCAAGGAGAUGACUAAUGUUAUGUUAAUCGGUGAUGGCCCAACUAAGACCAUCAUCACCAAUGACCUUAACUGCAUUAGGGAUCAUCCGCUUAAAACAUUCGGCACUGCAACAGUUGGUAAGUAGUAUUAUAUACAUAUAAGUUUUGGUGGUGAGGUGAGGUGAUUAACUAGUAUGAAUGUUUGUGAAAUAUUGUAGGUGUGGACGGGGCUGGUUUCAUGGCCAGGGACAUUGGAUUCGAGAAUACAGCAGGACCCCCUGGUCAUCAAGCAGUAGCUUUUAGGGCAACAUGUGAUAUGGUUAUCAUGUUCAAUUGUCAUUUUAAUGGGUACCAAGACACCCUUUAUGCUCACAAACAAAAACAAUUUUAUAGGGAUUGUCUCAUCAGCGGGACGGUGGACUUCAUCUUCGGGGAUGCUGCGAGCAUAUUCCAAAAUUGUCUGAUCAUCGCGAGGAAGCCAGGUGAAAACCAGAACAACAUGAUUACAGCCCACGGAAGGAAAUUUCCAUACACUCACUCAGCCAUUGUGCUUCAAAAUUGUACCAUCUCGGGCGCCCCUGACUACCUUCCGGUGAAGGACAAGAGCAAGACGUACCUUGGUCGUCCCUGGAAAGCUUUGGCGAGGACCAUCAUAAUGCAAAGCAAUAUUGAUGACAUUAUUACACCAGAGGGUUUGUAACACCCCGUACCCGAGACCAUUGCCGGAGUCGGACACGAGGGGUUCACAGACUAAAUUCGCUUACUAUCGCAGUCCAUUUUAAAUUUUUCCAGACAGCUGGCUAACUGUGUCGCUGUCACCUUAAAAAUCAUAUCUUGAGUUUCACAACUCGAAAAUCAGUUUCGUGAUUUUUCCCUGAAACUAGACUCCUAUAUCCAUCUACAUAUUCUUUUCUAGAAUUUUUGGUCGGGCCAAUUAGUACAGUUUAUUAGUUAAAGUCUCCCCUGUUACAGGGUGCGACUACACUGACCUUCAUGCAUUACAAUUCAGAUAUCUCCCUGACAGGGCUUCAAUACUGAUGCCGUUUGUUUCUAUAGAAACUAGACUCAGAGAGGAAUCUAUACAUAUAUGGCAUGACUCCUAAUUAUCUCUGGUUAAUUUAUAAUGAAUUUCCAAAGUCGGAACAGGGAAUCCAGAAACCGUUCUCGCCCUGUCUCACAAAAACCUAAUUAUCUCUUAACAUACCACUCAUUUGACCGUUUCGUUUCUUCCAUAUGAAAGUGGAUUCAUCAAGGUUCAUUUAAAUAAUUGAUUCACUAUUUAAUUCUAUUCCUACUAUUUUUAGUGAUUUUCCAAAUCUACAUCACUGCUGCUGUCAGCAUCUGCCUUUAAGGUAGACUUUACCUAUUUCAUAGUUUCCAUGAUUCAACUAGCCCUUUUAGCAUAAAUAGCACAAAUUAUGAUAGUGAUUAACCAUUCCCAUGGCCAAUCCUUGUUAAGCAUAUCCACACCUCUCAAUAACCAUAUCCAUACCAAAUGAUUAUAACAUUAUGCUCAAACAUAUAUAAGCCAUUUUCGCAUGGCUAUCCAAAAUUAUACAAAUCCAAAGGGUCCAUGACCCACUACAAAAAGGGUAGUCCUAUACAUGCCAUUUUCAGAGUUCAACCAAAAGUGUACCAAAAGGGCUUUGAUAGUGUGGGCGACUUCGACUUCAAUAAUCCCGAGUCCGAUAGCUGACGAACCAAAAUCUAUAAAACAGAGAUUCAAAGAACGGAGUAAGCAUUUAAUGCUUAGUAAGUUUUAAGCAAGACAAAGUGUUCUCAAUCACUAUUAUUGGUCAUUCAUUUCAACUGUUCGAUGAAGUUAAUCUAGAGCUUCAUCUCGAUCUAUAAUAUCAUUAAACGCAACACUUGGCUGCCACAUAUAUACUUUCGAAUAAUAAUGACCUAGAUGGUCAAAUAUUUCUAAAGCACAUUCUCACAUUUGGAGUUAUAAUAUUAAUCACAUUUACCUACCUCUUUGAUACUGAUAAUUCACCUCGAAAUCACUCCACCGAUGAGUAAGUAAUACGUACCUGAACAUCUUGAAUACAUAAUACUUAUUUGAUGGUAACUUAAUGCAGAUACUCAAUAUCAAAGUCUUACUUGAAUCCUAGCAUUUAGCCGUCGGGUCUUUAAAGCUCGGAUAUAGUACGAGCACGAAGCCUACGGACAUUAAUCAGGAUAAUAUUCUCGCAUAAAGCCUGCGGGGUUUUAACCCGGAUAUAGUACUGACACAAUUGCCCUUCGGGACUUAUCACAUUUAUACACUUCCACAUCCAUCACAUUGGCCAUUCGGCCUUAUCACAUAUAUACACUUUCACAUUCAUCACAUUGGCCAUUCGGCCUUAUCUCAUAUAUGCAUGUUCACAUUCAUCACAUUGGCCAUUCGGCCUUAUCACACAUACACAUGUUCACAUUCAUCACAUUGGCCAUUCGGCCUUAUCACACAUACACAUGUUCACAUUCAUCACAUUGGCCAUUCGGCCUUAUCACACAUACACAUGUUCACAUUCAUCACAUUGACCAUUCGGCCUUAUCACGCAUAUAUACUUUCACAUUCAUCACAUUGGCCACUCGGCCCUAUCACAUAUAUAUACUUGUACAUCAAUUUCAUCAUAACAAAAUUGACUAGGUAUACUAGUCAUUUGUGGCUUAUAGCUUCACUUUAAUACGAAUUUGGUACUUUGAUUACCAAUGUUUAAUCGAUAGCUUAUAAGCAACUCAAAUGGUUUUAUUAAGGUUUACAACAAAAUUCCAAAUUCAGCACAAGCUGUUUUUUUUCUGAGCAACAGUCAUUAAAUUAUUCGUAAAUGGAGCUACGAAACUCCAAAUGGAGUGCCGUUAAUUUUCCCUGGAAAUAGACUCAUACAUAUCUUAUCCAGAAAAUUUUCAGAAUUUUUAGUUUGGCCAAUCAAUACCAGAUUUUUCUUAAAGUUUCCCCUGUUUCACUAUUUGACUAAUCUGACCACUCUUCACUACGAAUCAAAUUUCUCAUUGUACGGAAUUAAAAAUGUGUUCUAUUUGAUUUCAUUUGAAACUAGACUCAUUAAGGAGUCUAGGCAUAUAAAUUUUAUCUUAUAACCAUUUUUUUACAAAUUAUAAUGAUUUUUCUAAAAAUAGAACAGGGGAUUUCGGAGUCAUUCUGACACUGUCCCACACAACUUUAAAUAUCUGUUUAUAGGAAAUUUCUUUGCUUCCACGGUCUCUUUUAUAAGAAACUAGACUAAAUAAGCUUUGAUUACAUAUUUUAUUCAGCCUAUAAUUCUACACCAACAAUUUAUAGUGAUUUUCUAAAAUCACGUUACUGCUGCUGUCCAAAGCAAAUUAUUACAAUUUGCUCUUAAAUUUCCAAGUCCAAACACUUAUGAACUUACCAUUUGAGUUUAAGACAUAUUAUGGCCACAUCAUAUCUUAUUAAAUCAACUCAUUAUGUCCUAUUAUGACUGAAUUUACUCAACGUUUAAUCACUUAAAACUUACCUCGGAUGUGGUCGAACGAUUUCGGCGGCUAUUCGAUCACUUUUUUCCUUCCCUUUAUCGGAUUUAGUUCCCCUUUGCUCUUGAGCUUAAUUUAACAAAUAAAUUGAUUUAAUCAUUUGAACAUCGAAAAGAGAAAAUCAAGGUACUUAACCCAUAUAUAUAUACAUUAGACAUUAAAGUCACAUACAUAUGAAAUCAUGAAUCAACUCAACAUAUUAACCCACACUCUCUUUUAGCCGAUUGUCUAAGCCAAGAUUAAGCCACCAAUAUGCUUACUUAUGGCCGAACAUACACAUCAACUUAUGUACUCAUUCAUGUGGCCGAACAUACAUGUCUAUGUUGAGGCCGAUUGCAACACUUAAUACAUUCUACAAGUAUGGUCACUUGUAUUGACUAAACACCAUUUUGUUUCAAGUUCAAAACUUGGCCAAAACACAUAUAUACACUAGUAAAGCAUCCUCUCCCUUUCCAUCAAUUCAACACAUGCAUUACUCAUUAAUAUACAAAAUUAUAUUCGGCCUUAGCACACAACUUGCUAGCCGAUUCUUCUCCAUCUAGCAACUAAUGCACAUAUGUGCUCAUUUGUUAGACUCUACUUCAUCUAACAACAACCAUAUUUUCCCUUCUACUUCCUACCAUGGCCGGAUGCUCAAGAUACCUCAAUAUCGAAACUUUUAGCUUGGAUUGCUUAAAGAACUUGGUGAUGAGUUCAAAUUUACCUAACACCUCAAGCCUCAUAACACAUCUAUAUAGCUAACAUGCUAAUAGUCUCAAGGCUUCAACUAAAACUUUUGAAGCCUCUUAGUCGAAUACUAACUCUCUAAUAAUCCCAAAUCCAUCCAUGAGAUAGUUAGAAUUUAGACUAAUCAUCCAAGGGAUGUAUGAACUUUCAAAGUAACACUAAACAUACCUUAAUCUAGUGAGCCUUCAUAGCCGAUUUUUCUCCAAGCUCAUUCCCUUCCUUUCUUUCUUCUAUUCGGCCAAAGAUGUUCAAGGAUGAACACUUUUUUUUUCUUUGUUUCCUUUCUUCCAUUCACGGCAAAGGGGGGGCAUGGAUGAGACCAUUUUUUUUCAUCACUCCACCUUUUUGCAUUACUUUAAUCCUAACCCAUUUUUUUUAUUCUUUCUAACAUAACUCACUAACACAACAUGUUUGCAACAUGUUUCCACCCAUAGCAUGGCCGGCCACUAUGUUUUAAUUUUGGGUAAUUUGAAAUGCAAACCCAUCAUUUCACAACAUGCAUUAUUAGGCCACUUUACAUUUGCCUAGCACAUUUCCAAAUUUUCUCACAUAAGUCCUAUUUGAUAAAAUUCACUUACUAUUAACAAAAUUCAAACAUGAAAUUUUCACACAUGCAUAUGUACAUAUAAUGAGCAUCAACUAUGACGGUUAAUUAUCUUUAUGACUCGGUUUAGUGGUCCCGAAACCACUUUCCGACUAGGGUCACUUUAGGGGUGUCACAGGGUUACUCCCCCAUGCAAGGCACCGUAGGAAUAGACACUGGUUACUUUGUAGAGUUCCAAAAUAGGGGACCCGGUUCCAAAACUGAAGGCAGGGUCAAAUGGCCAUCUAUCAAGACAAUCGAUAUAAAUGAAGCCAAGAAAUGGACUCCUGGCGUCUUUCUUGAAACUGAAACUGACAAAUGGAUUUCGCAAACUGGCACUCCUUGUUAUCCUGACAUGGUCCCUGGAGUGUGAACUCCCAAAACCAUCGCCAUUAGUAUUCUUUUAUUAUCAUUAUUAGUAAUCAUGUUGUCGAUUAUUGAUUAAGUUAAAAGAUAUUUUAACCUUAAGUAUUUGUUAUUUUAACUUAUUGGUAAUGAUUAUGUUUAAACUUUUAUUCAAGUUAUAAUUCUAUUAUAAAGUUAAUAAAUAAAGUUAUAGUAACCUCCCCAACUUGGCCUAAACAUUAGAUCUGAAUUCAGAAGAUUAUAUUAGCCACCGAAAUGACCUUGUAAGUUAUCAGAAUUUUUGAAAACGGUCAUUUUAAAACAUUUGAUUAUUUUAGAAGAAAACCUAGAUAAUUACCGAUUUAUUUACUAUUCAAAAUUCUUAUUUAUAAUUUAGCAGCAUAAAAGUAAUAAUAGUUUGUAUUUUUAAUAAAAACCAAUGUUCAUGCAUAAUUAAUUAAUAUUCAUAUUUAAAAAUCCUAAAAUCAAAUUAAAUGUCAUGCAGGCUGUAAAAUAAAAACCAAAUCCUAAGUUCUAUAUAACAUGUAACAACCCGUUUUCAAUGAAAUCGAAAUAGUGGUUUCGGGACCAUAAAUCCAAGUCAGAAAGAAAAUUUAUUUUAAUAUUAUUGCAUGGUCUACAUUAUGAUAGGAAAGACGUAUGAAAAUUUUGAUAAGAAAAUUUUAUCGAUUUUAUGUAUAAUUAGGAGGAAAGGACCAAAUUGCAUAAAGUGCAAAAGUUGAAUUCUAGUAGCUAAAAGGAUUAAAUAGUUAUGGAAUUCAAAACUUGGGGUCCUUAUAUAAUAAUUAUACCAUUAAGAGAAGUUAUUAGAUAUUUAUGAUAAAUCAUCCAUGGAAAUUUAAGAAAAGAAAAGGAUUAAAUUGGAAAGUUAAAAAAUUAAAAGAUGAUAAGUUAAUUAAAAGAAUAAAAUAAGUUUAUUUCAUCAUCUUCUCCAAAUUUUCUAUGGAAACCCUAGCUUAGAAAAAGAGAUUCAAGCAAGCUUAAUUAGGUAAGUAAUCAUGUCCCGGUUUUAGUAAUUUUUACAUUUCUGAGAUCGUAAUAACCUAAUCUAUUUAUUUGGGGAUCAAUUUGCAAAGUUAUAAAAGUAUUUAAAAUUUUCCAUGGAUUAUUAUGCUGAAAUUUUGAAAUUUAAGGUAGAAAAUGAAAGGUUGUUGAUAGAUAAAUGAUAAACUGUAAUUUAUACAUAUUUUUACCCCAUGCUUAACGCAUUUUAUGGAUGAUUUUUCCUUAGAAUUAGUGAAUUCGAUGCUCCUAAUGCCUUAAUUUCAUGUUUUAUACUUAGGUGAGCAUAGGAGAGCGAAAGGAACGAGAAACGAGCCAAAAAUGGAGAAAAUGGGCCAAAGUACGAAAUCAACACGGCCUGGACUUCCUCACACAGACAGCCCACGCGGCCGUGUCAAUUUGGCAGAAUCGAAGCACGACUCACAUGGGUAGAACACACGCCCGUGCCAAUCUAACAGGCUCGACACGGCCUGAAGUAAUCGCACACGGGCAUGUCAUAUAGGCGUGUCCCUGCCGAGCCCAAGUUUAGUCCAAUUCGGAAAAUGCCAAUUUUGAGGGUUUUUAGGCAUUCCAAAGCUUAUAAAUACAACCUGGAGGAGGAAGAAAAAGGGGAGGCACAGAGAGGAAGGAAUGAAUUACUUGAAGGAAGCCGAUUGAUCCAUCUCAGAAGCCGAAUUCAUCGUCAAGACUGAAGAUCUCCCUUCAAUUUCCCUUCAGGGUUUUGGGAUUUCUUUAUGUUUUGUAUUCAUUAUUCUUCUGAGAUGUUUUCCUUUUUAGUUAUGAACUAAAUCCCCUAAAUACCUAAGGGGGAUGAAACCUAAGACGAAUCUUGUUAUUAUUUUCUGAAUUGUAUGAUAAAUAUUUAACUUGUUCUUAAUUAUGUGUUCUUAAUUCUUGUUUUGAUAUCCUAGGAUACUGAUUCAAGAUAAGCUCUUAUUCAGAGGAGGAAUAGACCCUGUCUAAGAGUACAUUUGUCAUAAUUAAGCGGAGUUGCUUGCGCGCCUAGAUAUAGGGUGACAAGAUUUUGUCGGAUUAGGGUGAAACCUAAUAAGGGGAUCCAUAGAUCGAGUUAAUGCAACCCUAAGAUGUUAAUUAGAGAAAAGUUUUAAUUAUUCAAUCUAGGGAUUAGACGUUAUUAGUCUUGAAUAGGAAUAAUAACAUAACUUAAGGAUCUCUACGAAACAAGUUAAAUGAAUAAAUCGUCCGAUUCAGAGUCAGAAUAACAAGUGAAGUUUAGGUGGAUUUUUCCUUAGGUAUUGUCUUAAUUCAAUCGUUUUUCCAAUAGUAAUUCCCCAAUUCUAUUUUCUGUGAAUUCUUAAUUUAGAUAAUUAGUUAGUUAAAACAAACCCCCUUAUUUUUAGGCUAGAUAAUAAAAAGACAGUCAUUACUAGUACUUUUAGUUCCUUUGGGUUCGACAAUCCGGUCUUGCUAAAGCUAUACUACUAUUCGAUAAGUACACUUUCCUUCAUCGUGAUAAGAGUUAGUUUCGAGAACGAUUCAUUAUAAAUAUUUAAAACCUGUCGCAAAUAUCGCGUAUCAAUAAACAACUUUUGUAAAGUGAAUUUUGAUGAAAUCGUGAUUUAGGGACUAAAUUGUAAAGAUAUAAAAUUCAAUGAAAUUUUCUAAUUUUUAUGAAAUAUAUCGACUGUUUUUGUUAUAUGAAAAAUUCGACUAGGCUUGGAAUAAGGAUUAAAUUGCAUGAAUUUCAUUUUCCGAGCCUAGGGAUGAAAUUGGAAUUAAUAAAAGUAUAGGUGCAAAAUUGUACUUUUUCCUAAAAUGUGAAUUUGAGUGAAUUGAAUAUGAAUUUCAUUAAAUUGAGUUAAAUUUAUCCGUAUAGAUCUAGAUAGACCUAGUACGAAAUUGGAUCGAGGAAAAUAAAAAGUUUCGGAUUAGCAGAUUCUCAUAUAUGAACAAGUAUCGAGGUAAGUUCAUGUAACUAUCACUAUAGGAAAAUAGGGCUUUAGCGGCGUUUUAUCAAAAAACGCCGAAAAAAUUAUAAAAAACUGAGCAAUAGCGACGUUUUUGCUAAAACGCCGCUAAAGACCAGAGCAUUAGCGGCGCUUUUGGUAAAACGCCGCUAAAGACCAAAGCAUUAGCGACGUUUUUGGUAAAACGCCACUAAAAGUCAUAUAACUCUUAAAAUCCUAAACCCCAAAAAACAUAAAACACCAAUCUAUAACCCUAAAAUAGUAAACCUUUAAACCCUAACAAGCCGUAAACACUAAACUAUAACACCUAAAAUCCUAAACGUCGCAAUAGGUGCAUUUUUAGUGGCGCUAGUUUAAAUUAUAGGUUAAUGUUUGGGGUUUAUGGUCUAGGAUUUAUGAUUUAGGGUUUUGGAUUUAGGGGUUGGGGUUUAGGGGUAAAUAUAGUGAACUACUUAACUUGUGUAUCUUGGAUUUUUUUAUAAUAUAAAUCUAAAUAAGAUAAAUAUAAAUUAUUAUUUUAAAAAUAUAUAUAUCAAAAUGGGUUAAAUCCCAAAAGUAUAAAUUAUGAACACAAUUAUUGAUAUAAUAUCAUUUUAUAUUUAUAUAUUGCAUACAUAAAUAUUUAUAUUUAUUCAAUAUAAAAAUAUAUUGAUGUAUUUAUUUUUUAAAACGUGUAUGAUUAAAUCAAAAUUAAAGUUUUAACUAUACAUUUAAACCACAAUUAAAAUUUUAAGUCUACAAUUACACAUUAAACCGAAAUUCAUAUAUAAUUCUGAAAUGUAUCUCUAUCAAAAUUUAGGUGUAUACAUAUAAUUAAAUAUAAUUUAAAUUAUUUAAGAGAUAAUGAUAAAGUUUAUAUAUAUAAAAACAAAAUAAAAAAUUUUUAACAGAGCAAAAAAGUGAGAAAAUGACUUUUUGUGGCGUUUUUAUUAAAAAUGUCGCAAAAAAAUAAACAAUAGUGGCGUUUUUUAUAAUUUUUUACACAAAACGGUACGGUGUUGUUACCCAAAAUGCAUUAGACUUUUUCGUUCCCCCUUCCCCCCGAGAUCCCAAAAUUUGACAAGAAAUCUUUCUUUCUUCCCUCCUUUCUUUCCCCAAAAUCGGUUCCCUCCCCCCUCCCCAAAGAAAUCCUAAAAUUUCACUUGAAAUUUCUUCUCUUUUCUUUCCCAUUUUAUUUUUCCCAAACCAUUUCUCCCCUACCCCGAUUCCCUUUAUUUUUUCCCCCAAUUUCCCCAAAUUGGUAACUCCAUGAUGUUCUCUCUCUGAUAUGUUUGCUUAUUGGAUGUAUUGCUCGGACUUUAUAUUGUUGUUUGAAAUAUCUUCACUGAAAUUGGUCAAUUGAACCCCUUAUCCAUGCCCGCCGAUCCCAAGCCCUCCUACGCCUUCAGCUCCCUCCGUGAUCGUAGUAGGGACAUUCUCAGCGUCGUCGUCGCUCUCCUCUUCGGCGUCGGCUGUGGCUCUCUCACUGCCGCCGCCAUUUACUUGGUCUAGAUUAUCUUCACGGCCGUUGCGAGUACCAUGAGGAUGAUGAGUCUGACGAAGAAUUUAGCCCUAAAAAAUGGGGUAUGUCAACAUUCCUGCGAAUCCUGCUGUUAACGUUAAGGAAUCCUGCUGUUAACGUUAAAGAUGAUUAAGGUUGAUGGCUGGAAAAGAAAUCAUCUUGUUUAUUACUCAAAAUUGUUGGUAAGGGUGUAUGAUUUAUAGACUUGUAGAUGUAACUAGAGCUCUACCAUCAAUAGAUAGGAAAAGUUACUGGACAAUUAUACAUUAUUGUUUGAUAUAUUUAUUAUUUUACUUAAUAUUUGACUAUCUUUAUAUAUGGACACUAUUUUAGUUGUAUAAGAACUAAGACUUUAUCCUUUAUAUGUAUCAGCAAGCCAUAAAACAUAAAGAUUUAAGUAACCAUAGGAAGUUACUAUGGAAUAGAAGGCUAGGAUGCAAUGCUCUAUAAUUUGAAAUAAUUUCUCUUCAUCUGGCCUCUUAAAUUUUCAUGGAAUCUCUACACCUAGGAUUCUACUCCUCAAUGAUUGUCUUCUAAAGAUCACCAUUAACAGUGAGCAUGUUUAUGUUUCUAAAAGCAAGUUAUUUUGCAUUUGAAGUAUUUGUUUCAAGCUAAUUUAGGGUUGCCAGUGACGUCUUGGUUUAAUGGCAAGGAGGAGGCUAUGGGACUUUGAGAUCCCUAGUUUGAGUCUCACCAUGUGUGGGCUUAGUGUAUUUUGGAGAUGGACAGAUGUAUUUUGGAGAUGGGAGCCAUACAUGCUGGUGACUUCAUGGUGAGUUCCUCUCUUUGCCAUAUGUUUGGGAGCAUUUCCAUGGUUGAAUAUUGAAUUAUUUAUUUUUUCUUACCAUUUAUGGUUGCUGCUGACUUUAUUUUGUUUAAUUAUUAGAGGCGGUUAAGUUGAUUAACUGCUUGAUUGGGAAAGAAUUAGAAAUGUUUGAGUUAUUAUUCGAAUGGUGAACUAAAGAAAAAGAAGCUGAUAGAGCAGUAACUGACAAUUAUGGUUGAGAUUUUGCAAUAAUUGCAUACUUUUUAAAGAUUAUUAUUAUAAUGGUGACUUAUGAAAUGUUGGUAGUGAGAACCAACACCUUUUGGGAAUAUGGAUGUUUAUAAGUAUCUUGCUAUUUAUUUUCUCGAAAUCAUUAGUCAACUUCAUUGAUAGUUCGGGUAUUCCAUGUUCUUGCCAAUUAGGUAGAUCCUUGCAACCAAAUUGUUCAUUCAAUUCGGUUACUUGUCUUUUGCAUGUUUUGGAAAGUUUAAAGACACUGAAAGGAAAAGAAAUAAAAUAAAAUGAUUCUCCUUUACAUUAUUCCAUGACUUCUCACAGAUGUCAUCUUAUUUUCUCCCAUUGUUUAUCUUUACUGCUUUUUUAACUCUUGGAGCUUGAUAAGAUGAAUGUUUUAUUCACUUAAUAUAUACUUGCUAACAAGUUGCAUAAUUUUCGCAGGCAGAGCCCUAUAUCAAUUGCAGCUGCUGUUAUUUAUAUAAUAACAUAGCUUUCGAAUGAUAAGAAGCCACUUAAAGGUUUGAUAUUAUUUCCUUCUUACUUAUUAACUAAAAUUAAGAUGUUUCAUGUACUCCUUUUAGGUGCUGAGGUUUUAUAUCGAAUAACCCAACAUGGUGUCUAAGCAAUGUUUUUGUGUAUUAAAAUUUUAAAAAAAAGAACGGUGACAUCAAAAAAUUUUGAGCUACUGUUAUGUUUCUCUGAAAAAUGAACAAAUGAAUGCGCAGAUAUUUCUGUUGCUACGGGAGUUGCGGAAGGGACAAUCCGAAAUUCAUAAAAGGAUCUUUAUCCCCAUGUGUCCAAGAUAAUACCAAACUGGUAUGCCAAGGAAGAAGAUAUCAAGAACCUAUGCAGUCCUUGAAUUACAGAACAGACAAUAAUGGAGAUACCACAAACAAAACCCUCAAAGUGCUGAGUUCUCUCUCUCGGGAUCUCGUGGAACUCUCGGUACAUUCUGAUAAUGAUGUUCUAUUUUUUUUUUAUGCGUGUUUGAAGUUUUAGCAAAUAUUUUGAGGCUGUAUCAUUGCUGUUUAUCACCUAUAAUUUAUUCCACUAGGAUUCUUUAUAUCUUUCUUACAUUUGGCAGAUUAGUACGCAUAACACCUGGCGUAGGUAGAUUUGUUGCUAGGAGUUACAGUCCAAGGUGAGAAAAAUCUCUCCACAACUAAGGUUCUUUCUACCGUAAAUUAUUGAUAAUUAUUUACUACUGAUUGCUUGCAGACAGUUGGUCAGCGCGUCACCUGGAAUUCCAUUAUUUGAGAUUUUUGUGGUUAAAGAAGAUGAAGAAAUAUAUCUUAUGCAGGUAAAGUAGUAAUGUGCCUUAAUUUAUUAUUAUUUUUUGUUUGGGGCAAGGGGCAUAAAUUGAUUCUAAAUUAUGACAUCUUCAAAAUUUGGUGAAUUCAGAGUAUUUAAUGAUACCAUGAGUCAUGAGUGCAGUUAAAUGCUGUGUGUGGUUUGUUUGCUUUGUGUGGCUUUUUGCUGAUUGAUAUGAGUUGAAAUACUUUGGCACCAUGCCUUAGUGGCAUCAACUAGUACGACCACGUUUGGAGGGAUCUUGAGUCUUAGAUAUGUGGAACCUCUUCGAGAGAGAUUUGGGUUAAUCCACUUUGACUCUGGAAUUCCAUUAGGUUGGUUAAGUAGCUGCUAGGUUAUCGAUCAUAGUUCAUAACUUCCUUUCUGAUCCAAUCAUAGUAUAGAAGGGUCUACAGAUUGAUAAGAUAAACAGAAAAAUGAAGGCCUUGCUAAUUAGAAUCAGUCUUUUUUUUUUGGGUAAAGUAGAAAAUGAACAAAAAGAAAGAAAGAGAGCAUGUUUUCCUUGGCUAGGAAGAUCUUGGUACAACAGUAGCUCAAGGACCUUUCAGUUAUAGUUCAUGGUUAGAUAUACUGUUCAUAAGUGUUUAUCUAAGUACUUAAUUGGGGCUUCCUUUGUGUGUUUUGCUUGUCAUCUUUUUCACGAACACCAUAUCUGAAUUGCUUUUGGAUAAGUGCUUUGCUGCAUGCUGCUUUCUCUGUUUCGCAUCAUGAAACAGUUCUGGGUGUGUUUGUUCAGUAACUGAGCCUUGCUGCAGUAGGAUAAAUUUUUUGGAUUAUAUAAUUUGGUCCAUGGAAUCUUGAAAUUCUGGAUUAAAUAUUUUGGGUGGUAAAUCUGCCUAAACAUGGAUAUUCUUAGACGUGUAAUGUUAUUCCUGUGUAAGUUUGGAACAUGAUAUUUUCAUUUUAUUUAACUGUAAGUUGGUUUCUGGAUGCAUAUACACAUGUUAUGUAUCUAUUUGCAUGUUAGUCUUCGGCAUCUCUUAACCAGUGUGUGAUGUAUAUCUCCUGUAAAGUGAUCUAAAGUCUUCUAAUACAAUCUGUUGCAGGUAGUUUAUUUGCAGCGUGCUAAAGGAAGUUCUAUGAAUAGUACCACCUCACCUUCCAGGCCUACAAAUACCCCAUCCUAUGACCAUGAAAAGCUACUUACCAGAAAAUUUUUGAUUAAUUCAAUCUAUCUAUUGGACGUUUUCAGUAAACCAUUAAGCAUGCUCUAAUGCUCAUACAGACCAAGGCAUGAACCCUGUUAUUGAAUUCUUUCAUUUUCUUCCCUAGGUUGCAUUAUGAGAAGCAAUGCUAUCUGAUAUAUUGUGUUCAAUAUGAACAAUGUAUGUCAAUGUAUUGAAUUUGGUGUAAGGUUUGCCUGAAUAUCUCUACUAUCUCAUUCAUUUGACUUUAUUUAGAACCUCGUAUUGAGUACGUUAAUUCAUACUUUUGAGACUUCUAAUUGAUGGGAAAACUUUAAAAUACAGGUUGCAUGUUACAAAGGUCAGGGAAGAAUAGAAGAAUUUGUUUUCCGUAACCCGCGAUGGGUCGAUGGCGAACUUCUCCAACUUAAUGGCAAGGUAAUAAAAUAUUCAGAACUUUAUGCUAAUAAUAUGAUGUGACUUGCAACUUAAAAUUAUUUUGUUGAGUUUUCAAAACUAUAUGAAUUGAAGGAAAAUCCCUUGUGGAUGGUCAUAUGCAGGGCAUUGGACCCUAUGUCAAAGGAGCUGAUCUAGGUUUCCUUUACAUUGUGCCCGAGCAAAGUUUCCUUGUGCUACACAACCGUUUAAUAUAUAAAUAUAUUUGUAUAAAGUAGUUUAAUUUUUUUACUAAUUUAAAUAUUUUUUUAUUUUUAUAUUUGUAAAAGAACUUAGUUAUAAAAUAAAAAAUUUUAAAUUUAGUUUGGUUCAGAUGAUUAUAGUUUUCUAACUUACAAACAGUGAAUCAAAUUGAAAUCAAUUUAUUUGAAUAAAUUAAAAUUAAAUUGAAAUAAUGAAUUUUAAUUUUUUUUAUAUUUUUCAUGACCUUUAUAAUAUUUUGUAAUAUUUUUUUUUGAAUUUCAUGACUUUUAGCGGCGUUUGUGGGAAAAGCACCGCUAAAGGUCAUGAUCUUUAGCGGCGUUUGUGGAAAAAGCGCCGCUAAAGGUCAUGAUCUUUAGCGGCGUUUGUGGGAAAAGUGCCGCUAAUGGUCAUGAUCUUUAGCGGCGUUUUUUCAAAUAAAUGCCGCAAACUUUAAUGGCGCCGUCUAUAGAGGCGUUUUUUGCGGCGGCGCCGUUAAUAGUUUUAGUGGCGCUUAGAAGCGCCGCUAAAGACCUUAAAAAACGUCGCUAAAAAUCAAUUUUGCUGCAGUGUAUAUUGUGUACAUUUACAUGUCUGAAUUGAAUAUAGUAUAAGUAAAUUGUGAAUUUGUUAUGAAUAUCAAAAUGAUUAUAUAUCCGACAUGUUUGAGAAAUGUUAAGUCCCGUCUGAACAAAUGAAAAUCGAUGGUUGCAAGUUUCUCGAUUGGUUGUGAUGUAGCAUAUGUUGCAGAAACACCAUAGCUUGAAAGACCAUCUCGUUAUAAGCCCUCUUGAGCUUCCCGUUAUAUGGUUCUUGCGAACUUCACGUUAUGGUUCUUCGGAGUGUCUCGAUAGGUUGUGAUCCUACAUGUGUUGUAGAAACACCUUAGCUUUUAUGAGCUUCUUGAUAUGGGCUUUUCGUGAGCUUCUUGUUAAAUUAGCUCUUUAUGAGCUUCCCGAUAGUGCUCGCUUGAACUUCCCAGUAUAUGGUUAUCUGGAGCUUUCCGAUAGGCUCUUCGUGAGCUUCCCGAUUAAAAGUUCUUUGUGAACUUCCUAAGUAUGGUUCUUAUGAGCUUCCUGUUAUAGCCUGGAUAAGCUUCCCGUUACAUGGCUCACAUGAGUUUCUUGUUAUACGGCUCGAGAGAGUGCUUCCUGUUUAGGUGUUCUCAUGAACACUUCUUAAUGUCAAUUGACGGAUUAUAGAUUCGUACACUUCAUGUGUACUAUCGGAUAUCCAUCGAUAUUUCAUAAGGUUCAACGGUCAAAAUUUCGAUAGAAGUUGAGAUAAUGUCUGAAAUAAAUAAUAAUAUUAACUGCUUGAAAUUACAUAGAAUUGUUUACAUGAUGAGCUCAUCUUUGUUAUUUGAAAAUACUUGGAAAUCAUGACUAACUUGCUUGAUGAGUAUAUGUGUUUAAGCAAAUGGCCAAUUUGCUUUGGAUACAUGUUGUUUGUAUGUUUACUUUAAAUGAACCUGAGUGGUAAGUUAAAUUCCCGUUAUGCGAACUUACUAAGCAUUAAAUGCUUACUUGGUUUUCUUUUCUCUGUUUUAUAGUGCUCGGAAGCUCAUAAAGGUUGGAAAUUGGUCGGAGCAUCAUCACACUAUCCUUCAGAUUGUUUUGGUAUAAAUAACAAACUUUUUUUUGAUAUAAUGGCAUGUAUAGACUAAGUUGGCUAUGUAAAUGGUUGUUUGUAUCUAGCUAUUGGAAUGGCUAGUGAUGACAUAUUUGAUGUAUAUGUAAGAGGAUAUAUCAUGUUUAAUAUAUGCAUAUUUAGUAAGGUUGAAUUGAAUUCUGAUAAAUUUACAUGAUUACACAAUUAGGUAAGUUGGAAUACAUGAACAUAUGUGAUGAAAUGUCAUACAUAAUACUUGUAUUUGACUUGAUUUAAAUGUAUUGAAUUGGUUGGUGAAUAUACUUAAAUAUUGUUGUAGGUGGAAAGCAAAAUGGGUGAGAAAUAUGGCCUAUUUUCGUCCACACGGGCAAAGACAUGGGCAUGUGUCUCAGCCGUGUGCGACACGGCCUUGCACACGGGCAUGUGGUUGGGCGUGUGACACAUGUCAGAGAGUUACACGGGUAUGAACACGUGUUAGGAUAUGGCCGUGUGCCUUACAUCGAAUGCCCACACGGCUUGGAACAUAGGCAUGUCACUCACACGGCCUACCUACACAGGCGUGGGUCCCCUACAUUUAAGAAAAAUUUUGAAAAUUUUAGUUAAAUUUUCUGAGUUCUCGAUUUAGUCUCGACUUGUUUCUAAUACAUAUAUUGGGCCUCGAGGGUCCAUUUAAGGGAAAAUAUGAUUGAAUAUGUUUGGUUUCGAUUAUGAAUAGUAAAUGAAAUGAUUUAACCGUAAUUAUUCUAUAAACUACGGUAAUGCUUUGUAACUUUGUUUCGGUGUCAGAUAUGGGUUAAAUGUGUUACAUAACAGUUCAAAAUAAAAUAUUAUAUUCAUUGAAUAAUUAAAUAAAUAAAAUAAUGAGCCUAAAAUAAUUUUAUAAUUAAAAACGAGCCGAGACUCUAGAUGCCAUGUUCGUGUCCUAACCUGGUGAGUUAUCUGUAAGUAUGAAAAUUUAAGGGGGAGUGAGCUAUAACACUCAGUGGGAGUUCCAUCACAAGAAAAUCAGUGCAAAUUAAUAAACUAAGCAUACAUAAUAACAAUUUUUAGUACGAUAAUAAUCAUAUGAUAUAACGAUAUUUUUGGCAGUUCAACAACCAUACUUAUAUGUGUCGAUGCAAUGCUAUACAAGUUAAGUUUAUCAGUAAAGAUAGGUCCUACCCCACCGCUACACUCCACAGUAAGAGUUUCCCAGAAAUCUUAUAUCUCGGACACUCUAAUUUGUGGAUGAACCACAAGUGUUCCAGGUUAAUAUGCUACCAAUAGUUGUGAAUACACAAUGGGUUUGCAGAUAGAAGUUGCUAGUAAAAGAUGUGGAUAAACCACUAGUAUUUGCAGGUUAAUACGCUGCCAAUGGUUGUGAAUACACGGGUUUGCAGAUAAAAACUACCACUAAUUUGUGGAUAAACCACCAGUGUUUUGUAGUUAAAAUUGCCAGUAUUUCCUCUUUAAAAAGAAUCCUACCCUAUGCAAUAUAGUAUGACAUGUAAGUAUCAAUACAGUACAGAAACAAUAGACAUGUUUGUCCUGGAUUUGGUAUGUCAAUAUAGUAAGCAUGCUAUUCACGCAAUUAGUAAUUUUGCGAUACUAGUAAAAAUAACAAUUAAUCAGUAAUUUAGUCAUAGAAGACAUGUAUUCAUCACAUAUCAUGCACAUAUAGUAAUAAUCUAAUAAAUCAAACAAUUUAUUCCACGUUAUUCAUAAUAUCAGAGACUUAAUUAAAAGAAAUAAAGCACUAAAAACAAUUCAAUGAUCAUGCAUGGAUUAAAUUGAACAAUUUACAAAAAUUUUGGGAAAAAUUGUAAAAUGGGGGCACAUGGCCGUGUGGAGGGGUUACACGGUGGUAUGGUUAGGCCGUGUAAUAGAUUGUGGCUGUGUGGAAUUUACAAAAUCAAGGUACAGGGGAGACACAAUUAUGUGGCAGGCCGUGUGAGAAUUGAAUAUCCUAAGGUUUCAGGGGGACAUGGUCGUGUGAGGGGUCGUAUGGUCCACAUGUGUAUCCCACAUGCCCGUGUGGUUGGCCAUAUGACCUUAUUUCGAGGUAUGAUUUAUCCCAAUUCGCUUGUAAAAUAACACACAUUCCACCGGGAUCUCGAAUGACAUCCCUCACAAUCAAAUUUGGUCUGAUGCACCUGUAACGGGUCCUUCAAACAACAUUUAUACACGGGUUAAUGUUUAUUUUCAAAAUCUAUCAAGAUUACCAGGAAUUUCAGCAAGAUUCGUAGAAUAUUCAUCAAUUAAAAUGAAAGAUUAGCAUCAGAUGCAAAAACUACGAGAAUUUGGGAUUAGUUAUCAGAAUUUAAUUGAACUUGCCAACAAUUCUUAGCAAGGAUUAAGAACAUUCCUAAUGGCGACUAUAAAACCGAUUAAAAAAUGUCUUAAAUCGAGAAUAGAUUUUGAUCCGGGAAGAAAUAAUAAAUUCAGCAAUGGAGAGAAAAUAUCUUGCAAAGAAGAAGCUAAGAAAGAAAAGAGAGAAGAAGUAGGGAAAAAGAAAUAAAAAUUUUCUGUUUGGUUUGGAAAAGGAAACAAGUGUUCAAAUGCAAUUAGGAAAAUGAUUAAAUAUUUAGGGGUUUCAAACUUUUAGGGGGUUGGAUAGCAAUUUAUCCCUGCUUCCGAAAAUAAAAGGAUAAUGAAGGAGAGUGAUUAGGCUUGAUCUUGAGCAUGCAAGGGAAAAGUGUAAAGACUUAAUCAUUGACUUGUUGCCCAUAAUUUGUUAAGUUUUUACUCUAAAUUAUAUAUGUUUUAAUGUGGUUUUCAUCCUAAGUUGCUAAAAAUAAAAGGAAAAAAAAUGAGAGAAGAGUGAAUAGAACCUAAGACCUUUAAAAAGUACACUAAUUACUUAACCAUGAAGCCUAGGUUAAUUUUUGAUUAAUUAUUUCAAUUAAUCUUCUAUAUUUCAAGGCGUGACAGUUAUAACUAAGAAUUAUAAUUAAUUUAUAAAUAUUUUUAAAUAUCAAUUUAAUAAUAUGUUAGAAAAAAAUAUUCUUAUCAGUUCAAAAUUUUUUCAACUCAUAUAUAUAUUAUAGAUGAUUAGAUAUCAAAUUUAAUUAUAAAAACUUAAAAAGUCCAACCCGCUGGCAUACAUGUAAAUUACCAUCAACCUAACGCUUCGUUUGUUUGCCAGUAAAAUAUUUUCCGGAAAAUGAUUUCUGGAAAAUGAUUUACUUUUCUGGAAAUGAUUUAAUUUUCUGGAAAUGAUUUACUUUUCUGGUGUUUGAAUGAAUCUGUGUAAAAUAUUUUCUAUUGUUUGGUAGAUUUCCUAAAAAUAUUUUCCGGAAAAGCUAUUUUUAUAUAUAUUAAUAAAUUUAUAUUUUAAAUUAUUUUUACAUAUAUUGCAAUGAUCAAAUUAAAUAUAUAAUAAUACUCAAUUAUUGCAUUGUUCAUUCUUCAUUCGGAUUUAUUGCAUUGUUGCUCUAGAUUUAGAUAGAGCUUCAUACUUCAUCCGGAUAAAUUGCUCAAAAACUCCAACAAAUGUAACUUUAUAAAGAGGAACAAAAAAUCAGAAAGAAAACCAUUUGUUUGACUAUAUAGAGCUAAUAAUUUAUGCAUGAACUCGAAUGUUGGAUCACAUAAACAACAUUUUGCAAGAGAACAGAAAAGAUACAUGACAAAUGCACUUAAAUGGGGGCAUGCAUACCCAUGUUACGCCAGUGCAUGAAAACUUACCUAAACAAUACCUAGAACAUCAAUAAGCCUGCACCUUGCAGAGGAAACAACAAAGCAAAGAAAGAUUAUAGCACUAUAAUGGAAUUUUCUCCACCAAUGAAGAUGGCUAUUUCAAGCAAACAAAUGGCUCUGAGUUUUAAUUGAUUUGUGCAUUCAUGAAGCUAAAAAGAAGAGCACAUAUGAAUUUCUUGAUGGACAUUUUAUAACUUUCAAUAAUUAGGUGAUCAAAAAGAUAAUUUACUAAUAAUUGAGUGAUAUUUUUUAACUUUGCAUAGUUAAGUUACCAAAAGGGAAAAAACCAUAGUUAAGUGGCCUCUACUAUAAUUUACCCAAAGAUAUAUAAAUACACUUGCAACAAUAUUUCUUAUUUCAAUUUUUGAAAAAUUUAAACUUUUAAUUAAAUUAAUAUUCGAUUAAAGUAACAUUUUUAACUUAAAAAUGUUCUAAUUUUUACCAGCAAUCUUGGCUGUUCUUUCCUAAAAGAAAAAAAAAAGAACAGAAACCUAAGCAAAAAAAUAAGUUACACGUAGUGUUGUUGUAAGUCAAAUUUUACAGGCUAUUCUCUGCCAUUUAUCAUCCACCCCCCAUUAUAAGUAUACAAGCUGUGUACAUUAAUGCAUAGAAGUUAAAACCUCCAAAACAUUAAGUUAUUGUCUCUGCCACAUUAUUACAAGUAUUUGCAUGUCUAGAGCAUAAACUACGGCUGAAAGCUAAUGGUUCUUAGAGCUGUAAGACUGAUUUAAUGAUGAAUAUACACUUCACUGACAAUGGGUUGAGCAUAAAUUCAAUCGCAGAUAAAUUUUAGCUACUUCUUUCAGUAAUCGACUCCUCUCUAGUUUCACUUUAACAUCCAUUUAGAUCCUGCCAUUUGAGGUGAAAAAGCUGGUGGUGUGCCCAGCAAUGUCGAACUUCCCGGGCAUUCACCGUUUAGGUAUCCUUGUCACAUAGGCCAAAGCUCUAAUGCCAUAAAAAAGCCCCAUCAAAACCUCAUACCCAGUUGUGUGAAGUGCCUCAGGCUGGUGCCAGAACAAGAUGAGCUUGUGAAGAAUGGGUGCUAUUCCUGACAUGCCCAUGCCAAAGAAGAGGGAUGCACGAAUGCUGCGAAACUCUGGAUUCUAAAACCCUGGCAAUAAGGAAACUAAGAUCGUUGCGACUCCCAAGAUGGUUAUGAAUCCCAAAUAGAGGUUGCAAAAGAAUGGAUCACACAUGAAGGAGUAAUACACUGGAGGAUAGAAGGAAGUAGAAAUGAGAGCCGCGAUCCCAGCAUAGUCUAGCCUGAGCAUGAUAUAUAAUAGGCGCUCAGAGUGGCAAGAGAGAAGGUGGCAUGUGAUGCUAGCCAGCAAGCAGAACAUUGCACCACCCAAGAAGGCAAAGAAAGGCCACCGUGUUAUCGGCCUCACCAUCAGGGGUGCUAUUAUGUUUGCCAAAUCCUCCUUCACGCUUUGUUGCAAUUAGAAAGAAUAAAAUGUAUUAGCUGCAUGAAACUCCCACAUGCAUAGUGUAACCAUUGGUAUUAAAAGAACAGAUAUCACUACGUCAUAGAAAACCACCGUAAUAAGACAAAGAAACAAAAUACAAAGAAGAAAUCAAAGAAUUAGAAAAAAAAAUCUGUUGUGCGGAAGCGUGUAAAAGAGUAAAAUUAUUGUACUAAAAAAUCACACUAAGUUCAAUUCCCAGGAAAGAGAGGUGGAUCACAAGGAUCGCUUAAGUACCAGGUCUUUCCUAGCCAGAAUAUCCCUCAAUCGUAAUUUAAUAGCAUAAUAAAUCACUACAAUCACACACACAAUUCAUGUAGAAUAAUACAAUAAAGAAUACAAGAAUUUAACGAGGUUCAGCAAAUUUUGCCUACAUCCUCGGGCACUACCAAAUAUAUUUCACUCCAAAAUACAAGUGAGAAUUUACAAAGAGAGAGAGAGAAAACAAUGCCUUAAGUAGAGAAUGGCAAGUUUGAGAUGCAGAAUGAGAGAUGGUUAUGCCUAUUUAUAGUUGAGGUUCAGGGAUCAACUUGCAAAGUCACUUUACAAUUAGGGACCAUAUAUUGCAAAUAUCUCAGAUUUUAUUAUGCCAAUAUCUCGAUACCCAUAUAUUUGACUUUCCAAUAUUUGAUACCCAUAUCUUUGACUUUCCAAUAUUUGAUACCCAUAUCUUUGACUUUCCAUUAUUUGAUACCCAUAUAUUUGAUUUUCCAUAAAUAUGGAUAAUUCCCAAUAAUCUCCACCUUGAAGAUUUGAUUCGAGUAAUCUUAUCAUCACACAAUUCUCUCUGCCUUUGUCAACAACACUUGAUAGUGCCUUCUUCAACUGUUAAACAUGCAGAAUAUUGAUCAAGUUCAAACAAUGUUCGAACUUGAUUGUUGUUACCACCUUGGUCAUCAUAUCUGCGGGAUUAUCUGCAGUCUUAAUCUUCUGAAGGUGAAUUUUCCCCUCAUCAAUAAUUUUCCGCACAAAGUGGAAACGUACAUCGAUAUGCUUUGUACGUGCAUGAUAGACUUGAUUCUUUGCUAAAUGAAUAGCACUUUGACUAUCACAAUACACAUUAAUAUGCUCCUGGACCAAUCCCAAGGUUUUAACCAUACCUUGUAACCAAAUAGCUUCCUUUACAGCCUCUGUUACAGCCAUGUAUUCAGCUUCUGUGGUUGACAACGCAACUGUAGACUGCAGUGUAGACUUCCAACUUAUUGGUCCUCCAGCAAGAGUAAACACAUAACCAGUGGUUGAUAUUCGUUUGUCCAAAUCACCGGCAUAAUCAGAAUCAACGUACCCAACAAGACCUUUACCAAGUGUAGUAUCCUGCUUGAACAGUAAUCCAAUAUCCAUGGUCUUAUGAAUAUACCGUAGAAUCCAUUUCACAGCUUGCCAAUGUCCUUUUCUAGGAUUAUGCAUAUACCUGCUCACUAUACUAACUGCCUGUGAAAUGUCGGGUCUUGUACACACCAUUGCAUAUAUCAAGCUACCCACUGCAUUAGAAUACGGAACUUGCAACAUGUAUUCUCGUUCCGUAUUCGUCGAAGGAGAUAGUUGUGCAGAAAGCUUGAAAUGAGAAGCCAACGGGGUACUUACAGGUUUUGUCUGCUCGUUCAUGCCAAACUGCUGUAGUACCUUUUUCAAAUACUGCUUCUGAGACAAGCUAACUCUAUCAUGAGCUCUAUCUCUCCAUAUUUCCAUGCCGAGAAUCUUUUUAGCUUCUCCUAGAUCUUUCAUCUCAAACUCGAGAUUGAGUUGAGUGUUCAAUCUUUCAAUCUCAACUUUGCUCUUAGAUGCUAUUAGCAUAUCAUCAACAUAUAAGAGCAAGUAUAUGAAAGUUCCUUCUUGUAGCUUCUGAAAAUACACGCAAUGAUCAAAUUUACUUCUUGUGUACCUUUGCCCUUUCAUGAACUGAUCAAAUCGCUUGUACCACUGCCUCGGAGAUUGCUUCAAUCCAUAAAGUGACUUUGUCAGUUUGCAAACCCAAUUUUCUUUUCCAGCAACCUUGAAUCCAUCUGGCUGAGUCAUAUAGAUUUCUUCUUCCAAAUCACCGUGUAAAAACGCGGUCUUCACAUCAAGCUAAACUAGUUCAAGAUCAUAUUGCGCAACCAAGGCUAGCAAAAUCCGAAUAGACGAAUGCUUCACAACUGGAGAAAACACUUCAUUGUAGUCUAUUCCUUCUUUCUGAGCGUAACCCUUUGCUACUAAUCUAGCCUUGUAUCGAAUUUCAUUUUUAUCAGGAAAUCUUUCCUUCCCUGGGGUAGUGUCACCAACUCCCAAGUCCUAUUUUUAUGAAGAGACUGCAUUUCUUCAUUCAUAGCUUGCUUCCACUUUACACUAUCAGAGUUACUUCUUGCUUCUGUGUAAGUAGAAGGAACAUCAUCAUCUGCAAUUGGAAGUGCAUAGGCCACCAUAUCAUCAAAGCGAGCAGGCAUACGAAUCUCUCUUCUUGGCCUUCUAUAUGCAAUUGAAUCAUGUUGUUGUAGAAGUUCUUGGGUCGAAACUUCUUCAUCAUUUGUUCCUUCAAUAUUAGCUGGAUCAUCAUUAACCUUUUCAAGCUCCACCUGCUGCAAAGUGCCACUGGUUGUGUUAUCCUUUUGUGAAUCAUUGUUCUUCAUCAUGGUUGAUUCAUCAAAAGUCACAUCUCUACUGAAAAUUAUUUUUCUUGUAUCAGGACACCAGAGACGGUAUCCUUUUACCCCAUCAGUUAUACCCAAGAAUAAUACUUUCUUUGCUCUUGGGUCUAACUUAGAUUCUUUUACAUGAUAAUAUGCAGUGGAACCAAAUACAUGCAAAGAAUCAUAAUCAGUAGCAGAUUUACCAGUCCACAUCUCCAUAGGAGUUUUUCCAUUUAUUGCAGCUGAUGGCAAACGGUUAAUUAGAUGGCACGCAUAUGUAACUGCCUCAGCCCAAAAUUCUUUGCCAAUCCAGCAUUGGACAACAUACAUCAAACUUUCUCCAGUAUAGUUCGAUUCAUUCGUUCUGCCACCCCAUUUUGCUGUGGUGUAUCCCGAACAGUGAAGUGUCGCACAAUGCCCUCAUCUUGGCAUACUUGUAGAAAUGGAUCGUUUUUAUACUCAGUACCAUUAUCUGAUCGAAGUCGUUUGACCUUUCGACCAGUCUGAGUCUCCACCAUCUUCUUCCAUUUCAGAAAUGCAUCCAAAACUUCACUUUUUCUUUUCAUUAGAUACACCCAUACUUUUCUUGAAUAAUCAUCAACAAAAGUAACAAAAUAGUGCAUACCUCCCAAAGAAGCUACUUUGGUAGGUCCCCACACAUCACUGUGAACGUAGUCCAGAAUUCCUUUCGUAUUGUGAAUUGCUGGACCAAAUUUUACCCUCUUCUACUUGCCCAGAACACAAUGUUCACAGAAUUCCAUUUUGCAAGAAUUUGCACCUUUCAAUAAGCCUUGCUUCACCAAUGUCUGCAAAGCUUUUUCACCAGCAUGUCCCAAUCGCAUAUGCCAUAAUCUGGUAGCCUCUGAAUCUACAUCUUUUGUAGAAACUGUUGAUGUUGAUCCAAUAACUGUACUUCCAUUUAAAAAAUACAAGUUAUUUCUUCUUGUGCCUUUCAUCACCGUCAGUUGCCCAGCUACUACUUUUAGUAAUCCAUCUCUCAAAGUGAUUGUGAGCCCUUUAGAUUCUAGGGCACCUAAUGAGAUGAGAUUUUUCUUCAGGCUAGGUACGUAGCGAACAUCUGUCAAGACUUGGAUUGAGCUGUCGUGAUUCUUCAAUUGGACUGUACCCACUCCCAUUGUCUUACAAGCACUAUCAUUUCCCAUAAGAACAAUUCCACCUUCUAGCUCUUUAAGACUAGAAAACCAGUCCUUAUUAGGACACAUAUGGUAAGUACAUCCUGAAUCCAAAAUCCACUCAUCCGUUUGACAUGCCAUUGCCAUGCCAACCAAGCUAAAGUCUGACUCCUCAUCAUGCUCCGCUACACAUGCAUUAGAAAUAGCCUUGCCCUUUUGUAGCUUAGGACAAUUCUUUUUCCAAUGCCCUUUUUCACGGCAAAAGGCACAUUCAUCUUUGGCGGGUCUCCCUUUGGACUUUCCCCUUCUACCAGAUUUGCUGCUGUGUGAACGACCUCUUACUGUUAAGACUUCUGCGGUUGUAUCUCUGUGAUCUCUUUUAUCUUUCUUUCGAGUCUCAGAUCUAUACAACGUACUACAGACUGCAUCAAAUGUGAUCGUGUCCUUCCCAUGAAGCAAUGUGGUGGUAAGAUGAUCAUAUUCAUCAGGAAGGGAAUUCAACAACAAUAAUGCCUUGUCUUCAUCUUCAAAUUUCUCAUCCAAAUUUAGCAAGUCUGCUAAAAUUUUAUUGAAUGAGUUCACAUGGCCAUUCAUCGACAUACCGAGUGCAUACGUGAAUCGAUAAAGUUUCUUUUUCAUAUAAAGCCUAUUUUCAAGACUUUUUGUUAGAAACUUUUCUUCCAGUGUAUCCCACAACUUCUUCGCUGAUGUCUCCCUCAUGACAGAGUACUUCUGCUCUUUGGCCAAACAUAGGCGAAUUGUUCCACAUGCCUGUCUAUUGAUCUUGGCCCACUCCUUGUCAUCUAUCUUGUCAGGUUUUUCUUCAAGGGCUAUAUCCAACUCUUGCUGACAUAAGACAUUCAGGAUCUCACAUUGCCACAUACCAAAAUUAUUGGUACCAUCAAAUUUCUCUACUUCAAAUUUCGCAUUGGUCACAGUAGUCUUUGACGAUGACUUUUCCAUUUUUUCUCCUCAAUCCCAACUACAGUACGUGAACAAUGCCGUGAACGAUUGUAUUCCCCAAGUACGAAUCUAGCUUUGAUACCAAUUAUUGUGCAGAAGUGUGUAAAAGAGUAAAAUUAUUGUACUAAAAAAUCACACUAAGUUCAAUUCCCAGGAAAGAGAGGUGGAUCACAAGGAUCGCUUAAGUACCAGGUCUUUCCUAGCCAGAAUAUCCCUCAAUCGUAAUUUAAUAGCACAAUAAAUCACUACAAUCACACACACAAUUCAUGCAGAAUAAUACAAUAAAGAACACAAGAAUUUAACGAGGUUCAGCAAAUUUUGCCUACGUCCUCGGGCACUACCAAAUAUAUUUCACUCCAAAAUACAAGUGAGAAUUUACAAAGAGAGAGAGAGAAAACAAUGCCUUAAGUAGAGAAUGGCAAGUUUGAGAUGCAGAAUGAGAGAUGGUUAUGCCUAUUUAUAGUUGAGGUUCAGGGAUCAACUUGCAAAGUCACUUUACAAUUAGGGACCAUAUAUUGCAAAUAUCUCAGAUUUUAUUAUGCCAAUAUCUCGAUACCCAUAUCUUUGACUUUCCAAUAUUUGAGACCCAUAUCUUUGACUUUCCAAUAUUUGAUACCCAUAUCUUUGACUUUCCAUUAUUUGAUACCCAUAUCUUUGAUUUUCCAUAAAUAUGGAUAAUUCCCAAUAAAAUCUGAUUGAUUCUUUUCAUUCACAAAAAACUACUUUUCUGAUAGAGCCUUCUUAACUGCUCAUACCAGUUUUACAACCUCUUUAACCCUGCAACUAACAGUAACUAACAACAUUACUGCUAUCACCACUUAACUUUCCAAAAUUAUUAAGGAUAACAAUUUCCAGGGAGACAAGAUAAGACAUGAAAUGUUCAUGCAUACACAUUUAUCUUAAAAUUGUAUCCACUAUGGAUCCAUAAGGUUAAAACUGGCAGCUGCAAAAAAUGUUACAGGAUUCAAGCAUCGCUACCCUCUCAUUUUUCAGACUCUGAAGUGCACUUCCAGUAAGAUCCUAUUAACAUGAAUAUACUAAAAUAAACUUUUGAACUAUCACAAUCGUGGCAGUUGAUUUCCCAUUGCAAGGACGCUAGCAAAAUAAACUACAUACUUCGUAUUUAGACCUGCUCAUGGGUCGGGUUACUCGGCCCGGCCCGAAGGCCCUCCCGAAAUGUGAGAGGGUUUGGGCAAAAAUAAAGGCCCGAAAAAUGGGCUUGGACAAAAAAAUAAAGCCCAUUUAAAAAACGGGUCAGGCUUCGGGUAAGGUAUUUUUUGCCUGAGCCCGGCCCGGCUUGGCCCGAAUUCACUAAAUGACAAAAAAAAUCUGCUAUUUCUUGUUUUUUAAUGUUAUUUUCUUAUUAAUUUUGUUAUUAUUUUAAAGGCAUUUGUUAAUUUUGUUAUUAUUUUAGAUGUAUUUGCUUGUUAAGUUGCAUCUAUCUUAGUGCUAUUUAAGUCUACAUAUUUUUUAAAAUUUAUUUUCAAUUUGUUGGAAAAUAUUUAUUUUGAUUUUUUAGUAUUUUUGAUGUAUUAUAUAUAUUUAAAAAUUAUAUAAAAUAAUAUAAAAAAUAAUAUGGGCGGGUCGGGUCGGGCUCGGGUUUUAGCAUUUUUAUUUGGGCGGGGUUGGGAAAAAAUUGUAGGCCUAUUUUUUAGGCCCGGCUCGGCCCGAGCCUAAUGAAUGGGCCUAAAUUUUUAGUUGAGCCCAACCUAAACCCGGCCCGACCCGACCCAUGAGCACCUCUAUUCGUAUUUAAAGUUCCACAUAUUGUGUUCAAAACAUUGUAAGUUAAGGGGAAAAAAAUCUACAAGACAGACAUAUACCAUAUAGGAUGUUAUAUGCUUAAAAAAGAUUUCCCUGGAUAACAAUACUAAGCUUUCCAUGGUUUUUGCUUAUAAGAGAAGCAUUUAUUGAACCAUGUCAACACGGUAGAUAUCAACUUUAUAACUUAGCACCUAUGGCUAUAAUCAUAUGCCUUUAAUUGUUUAUAAAGAUUCUUGAGUAAAAAUUUUUAGCAGGAAGUAUACUAACAGAAAGGCCUAUUUGAUGCCCACAGGUCUUUCAGUUCUUCACAUUUAUUGACCCAUAAUACUAAAACUUUAUGGAUAGGUCUUAGGAUUAUAAUUCCUUUCACUGACAACAAUAGGACAGAGGAAAAGAAGUCUUUAUGGAUUCUCUGCCUCAGAAACAAGAUUCAGUGUUGUCAGGGCAUGCGCCUAGGCACACCUGAGCUGUGCGCCUUAACACUAGACAACAGAAGUGCCUCAAACCCUUUCAGGUAAUACCCAUUUAACCAGGCACACACCUUUUUUGCAAGGCAAUAGGAAUAAAAAGCAUCCGCCUCAUAUAAGUUCUCUUUAAUUUAAUUUAAUUUUCACUUUUUUCAUUAGAUAUACCUUUACCAAUAAGAAAGGGUUAGUAUUAAACUCUAUCCUUAUCAAAAUUCGUGUAUUAAACAAUAGACAUGAACCAUAAGUAAAUCAUGUAUAUUGACCAAUAAUAGAAUUGCAUGUUUUGUAGAUAUAGAUCACACUUUAGAGUUUAUUAUAUAUCUUAUGCUAUAUAUAUAGACAUAGAAAAAUGCACAGAUAUACAUAUUGCACUUCAUUUCACUCAAGCUACUACUUUUUUUUUUACACCUUGCACCUGAGGCUACAAGAGUAGCCCCUUCCCCGGUAAGGCAGCAACCCAACUAUUUCUUUCUUGCCUGGAGGCUUUUCUUAUUCUAAAAUUUAUGAUAUUCACUAACCUAUAAAAUCCAGAGUCCUUUAUUACAGAAUAAUUUAAGGCUUUCUUAAUUUCUAUAAUUCACCACCAGAAAUCUAAUUAAUGGGAUAUCAGAAACCCAAAACCUUUCUCUAUUGCUCACAGAGACUUAAACAUGUAUUUCACUAAAUUUGGCUCAAACAUAAACCCAACAUAAAAAUCUAAAAUUAUAUUGCAGCGAAAGAAGCUAUAAUUGACAUACUUGCAUAUUAUCUUUAUAGUGUUCAAGUAUCAAAAUUGAUAUGAAGUACAGGAAACUUCAAAGAAGAUAGAGGCAACCAUUUCCUAACAUUGAUGAAAAAACCACACCAAAACCUUGAAUCGACAGAAUUUACCCAAACCCAGAAAAAGAGCUUUAAAAAGAACAAGAAGAAAAUGUGGACAAGUAAAGAACAAGAAAAAAAAAGCUUUAAAAAACGAUGCCAUUCCUUAAGUCAAGACCUUGCGAAGAGGAAUGAGAUUUGCCUCAGAAAGAGAGAAAGAGAGGAAUGAAAUUUGCAGAAAGAGAGAAAGAGAGAAAGAAGAUGAAGAACGGAAAGAAGGGAGAAGGACUUUUACCAGGAUGAAGAAGAAGAUGGAAAAUGUCUUACAGAAAAAAAAUCCUUAAGGCAUUUUCCCUAAAAUGAAUGAGAUUUUACCCGUGUCUUGGAAAAUAAUUUCCAAAACAGAGCCUAAAUGAAACUUUAGUUACCAAAUCAUACCAGUUAAAAAAUUAGAGUAAAUUAUAUUAUUAAUUACUUAAUUAUAGUACAAUUAUUUUCUAGUUACUCAAUUAUGAAAAGUUACAAAAUAAUCAUCUAAUUAUUCAUUUUUUUAUUUUUUGUCACCGGCUGGCUAACGUGUAAAAAGAAAAACCCAAAAAUCAAAUAUAGUUGAGUAGCCAAAGAAAAAAAUUACUAAUAAUUAGGUGACUAGUACUAUAGUUUACCCUAAAAUUUAAAGGUAAAACUUUUCAAAUGAAUGCAUUUUAUAAUAAUUAAUAAAAUAAGAGUUAUAUUAAGUACUGAAAAGUUACUCAACUAUCUUAGAUUUUUGUUAUUUUUAUUUUAUUUUUUACUCUAGUUAUUAAAAAAGAUAAAAUUAAAUAAUUGGAUAACCAUAUUGUAACCUUUCAUACUUGGAUGACCAAAAAAGAAACCUAACAAUAAUUGAGUGAUUGAAUUUUUUUUUACUAAUAAUUAUGUGACUAAUAAUAUAAUUUACCUAUAAAUUUAAAGGUAAAACUUUCCUUAUGAAUGCAUUUUAUAAUAAUAAAUAAAAGAAGAGUUAUAUAUAAAAUUGAAAAGUUGUAACAAAUUGGGGUGAUAAUAUAUCCGUGAAGCACUCCCCACCAUGCUAAUACCACCAAGCUAAUAAUAAACUAAAAAUAACCAUUAAUUUGCUAAGAAAAUGGUUACUUUGGUAGUAUAAAUAGGGCAUUUCAAUGAUGUAUUAUUCAAGCCAAGGGGCAAUAAGUAAUAAGCAAUAAGCAGCCCCACAACUUCAAAAGGUUUUUUUUUUUCUUUUCCUAUCUCUGUUUAAAAUCUAUUUCAAGGGAAAGGAGGAGGAAAAUUUUAUAAUUUUUUGAGGGUUUUUUAAGAAUAAAUAGAAAACUAUGGCGAACAAUGCUGCUGUUAUUGGUAUCUGUUCAGUGUUCUUGGUGGCAGCAGUGGUGGCAACAGUGGUGGGUGUCACGCAUUUAAAAAACAACGGUGAUUCGAAAAGCGGUGAAAUAUCGAGUUCGACAAAAGCAGUGCAGACGGUUUGUCAACCCACACAGUUCAAAGAGGUAUGCGAGAAGAGCCUGGAGUCAUCUAAUUCCACCGACCCUAAAGAGCUGAUAAGGACGAGUUUCCAAGCAGCGAUAGAGGAAAUAAGGAAAGUGUUGGCGAAUUCAGCGACGAUACAAGACUUGAAUAAAGAUGACAACAACAAAGCAGCCCUUAAGGUUUGUAAAGAAGUGUUGGAUUUAUCAAUAGCUGACCUGCAACUUUCAUUUGAUAAGCUGGGGGGAUACGAGAUGAGUAAGAUCGGUGACUACAUACUGAACCUGAGGGUGUGGUUAAGCGGUGCCUUAACUACCUUACAAACAUGUGUAGACUCAUAUGCGGAAGUAAAUAAUGAACAAGCGGAGAAGAUGAAUUCAAUUUUGAAGACUUCAAUG